rnacentral:rRNA from 1 species
CGGAACAGCCUGCUAGUGAUAGCACAGAACUUAACGGAACGGCUUGGAAAGGCCGACGAUAGAGGGUGAUAGUCCCGUACGUGAAAAGAUCUGUGUGGUACUGAGCUAGCGAAAAGUAGGGCGGGACACGAGAAAUCCUGUCUGAAUAUGGGGGGACCAUCCUCCAAGGCUAAAUACUCGUAAUCGACCGAUAGUGAACUAGUACCGUGAGGGAAAGGCGAAAAGAACCCCGGGAGGGGAGUGAAAUAGAUCCUGAAACCGCAUGCUUACAAAAAGUAGGAGCCCGCAAGGGUGACUGCGUACCUUUUGUAUAAUGGGUCAGCGACUUACAUUCAGUGGCAAGGUUAACCGAAUAGGGUAGCCGUAGAGAAAAUCGAGUCCGAAUAGGGCGUCCAGUCGCUGGGUGUAGACCCCGAAAACCAAGUGAUCUAUCCAUGGCCAGGAUGAAGGUGCCGUAACAGGUACUGGAGGUCCGAACCGACUAGUGUUGCAAAACUAGCGGAUGAGCUGUGGAUAGGGGUGAAAGG